AUGGCGGCGGCACUCAAUUCGGUCAGCAGUACAGAGAAGAUGAGAGGGAGAGAGAGAGGAAAGGGGAGAGGGAGGUGCGCCUGUCCCUCACCCCAUGUCCCCGGCGCACCGUCGCCCCUCCAAGCCUUGGUGGUCCAGGGAGGAGUAGAUGGCACCAACUUCGAUUCCGGCCUCCGCCCUGAGCUCCGCCGCCUCACGAACUCGAGGCGACGAGCGCCGCCCCCACGAGCUCACUCCGCCUCUCGAGGACCUCCUCUCCUUCGCGGCCCCGAGCGAUGUCUUGAACUCUUCUGUCCCUACACAUGGUCAGCAUCAGCAGAGGGCCAAACGAUGCAACUGCAGGCGCAAACAAUUUUGCUGGUGGUCAAAGCCCUAUUCUAUUGUUGUGAUACUGGUGAGCUUGCACGGUGCAGCAGCCUGGAGAGGCGGCUAACGGCGCACCUGCGAAGCAACAAUAAACACGUCUGA
rnacentral:rRNA from 1 species